rnacentral:rRNA from 1 species
AUUGAACGCUGGCGGCAGGCCUAACACAUGCAAGUCGAACGGUAACAGGGAUCAGCUUGCUGAUUCGCUGACGAGUGGCGGACGGGUGAGUAAUGUCUGGGAAACUGCCUGAUGGAGGGGGAUAACUACUGGAAACGGUAGCUAAUACCGCAUAACGUCGCAAGACCAAAGAGGGGGACCAUCGGGCCUCUUGCCAUCGGAUGUGCCCAGAUGGGAUUAGCUAGUAGGUGGGGUAACGGCUCACCUAGGCGACGAUCCCUAGCUGGUCUGAGAGGAUGACCAGCCACACUGGAACUGAGACACGGUCCAGACUCCUACGGGAGGCAGCAGUGGGGAAUAUUGCACAAUGGGCGCAAGCCUGAUGCAGCCAUGCCGCGUGUAUGAAGAAGGCCUUCGGGUUGUAAAGUACUUUCAGCGGGGAGGAAGGGAGUAAAGUUAAUACCUUUGCUCAUUGACGUUACCCGCAGAAGAAGCACCGGCUAACUCCGUG